rnacentral:lncRNA from 1 species
GACGCACGUGAAGAGGCUGCAUGGUGAGAUGCAAACCUCUCUGGAUGAAAGGGCAGCUGGCACGCCAGGCUGGCGGCGGUUUUUUUGCCAUCUCCUCCUUCUUUAUUCUGCUGCGAUUUGGAAAGCUUGCAGAACGUGGAGACGUAGUGACUCCCCGCCUGUUUUCACCACUGGAGGGGCUGGAGAGAAUAAAAACGCUCUGGUUUGAGCGCACCUCAGUCCGGGGCCAUAAACGCUUGUGCUCUGCAUACCGACAACUGCGCAUCAAACAAAGGUGUCCUUACCCUGUGCUACGAGAUAGAAAAACCCCGAAUGGUGGAGAAGAAAGAAGAAGGAAAACUGACAGAAACCUGACGUUUAUUGAGGGACUUCUGGGAUCAUGGACGUUCAGUGUGAAUAGAACUCAUGAUGAGACCAAAGAAGAAGGAGAAGAAAGAGAAGAAGACUGCUUCACGCUCCUACCCACGCACCCAGCUGCACCCAGAGAGCUCACUCCCCUCCACGCCCCCCCGCCUCUCACCCCAGCAGCCUGCACACUGCUCAGCUAUGGGCAAAGGCUUAAUGGAGCUGAGAACCUUCUUUCCCCACUUCCUGUGCAGUCAGCCAGCUGCGACUGGGAAAGGCCCACCACCAACUCCAGGAGCCAGGAGGGUGAUGAAGACUGA